AGGGGAGGGACAGGCCAGUGAUGGAGAAAGCCCAGGGGUGACCACAUCGCACCGGACCAGCACUGGAGGGGAGAGCAGGCUGCAUGGGCUCCAGGAGGAGGUGAAGGGGACCUGCUUUGUAAACUCCAGUGGACAUCCAGAGUGGGCUUAGUUUGACUGACCCAGUAACUGCCGAGAAUCAGUCCUGUGCAGAAUUGCUGACUUCGCGGGACUAGAUCCCCGUCCUCCUGAAAUCUACUUUCCAGCAAGAGAGACAUGCCAUAAACUAAUACAAUUAAAUAAAUAAUGAAUUAAUC